rnacentral:rRNA from 1 species
GAUGAACGCUGGCGGCGUGCCUAAUACAUGCAAGUCGAGCGAACGUACGAGAAGCUUGCUUCUCUGUUGUUAGCGGCGGACGGGUGAGUAACACGUGGAUAACCUACCUAUAAGUCUGGGAUAACUUCGGGAAACCGGAGCUAAUACCUGAUAAUAUUUUGAACCGCAUUGUUCAACAUUGAAAGACGGUUUUGCUGUCACUUAUAGAUGGAUCCGCGCUGCAUUAGCUAGUUGGUAAGGUAACGGCUUACCAAGGCAACGAUGCAUAGCCGACCUGAGAGGGUGAUCGGCCACACUGGAACUGAGACACGGUCCAGACUCCUACGGGAGGCAGCAGUAGGGAAUCUUCCGCAAUGGGCGAAAGCCUGACGGAGCAACGCCGCGUGAGUGAUGAAGGUCUUCGGAUCGUAAAACUCUGUUAUUAGGGAAGAACAUAUGUGUAAGUAACUGUGCACAUCUUGACGGUACCUAAUCAGAAAGCCACGGCUAACUACGUG